CAGUCGCCGCGGGAAUACGGAGGGGGCUAGCGUUGUUCGGAAUUACUGGGCGUAAAGCGCACGUAGGCGGUUACUCAAGUCAGAGGUGAAAGCCCGGGGCUCAACCCCGGAACUGCCUUUGAAACUAGGUGACUAGAAUCUUGGAGAGGCGAGUGGAAUUCCGAGUGUAGAGGUGAAAUUCGUAGAUAUUCGGAAGAACACCAGUGGCGAAGGCGACUCGCUGGACAAGUAUUGACGCUGAGGUGCGAAAGCGUGGGGAGCAAACAGGAUUAGAUACCCCAGUAGUCCCUGUCUCUUAUAC
rnacentral:rRNA from 1 species